rnacentral:rRNA from 1 species
GACGUAGGGCGCGAGCGUUAUCCGGAAUUAUUGGGCGUAAAGAGCUCGUAGGCGGUUUGUCGCGUCUGCCGUGAAAAUCCAGGGCUCAACCCUGGACCUGCAUUCGAUACGGGCAGACUAGAGUUCGGCAGGGGAGACUGGAAUUCCUGGUGAUAGCGGUGAAAUGCGCAGAUAUCAGGAGGAACACCGGUGGCGAAGGCGGGUCUCUGGGCCGAUACUGACGCUGGAGGAGCG